ACGGAAGGCAGCAGUGGGGAAUAUUGCGCAAUGGGGGGAACCCUGACGCAGCAACGCCGCGUGAGUGAGGAAGUAUUUCGGUAUGUAAAGCUCUAUCAGCAGGAAAGAUAAUGACGGUACCUGACUAAGAAGCACCGGCUAAAUACGUGCCAGCAGCCGCGGUAAUACGUAUGGUGCAAGCGUUAUCCGGAUUUACUGGGUGUAAAGGGAGCGCAGACGGCGUGGCAAGCCAGAUGUGAAAUGCGGGGGCUCAACUCCUGAACUGCAUUUGGAACUGUCAAGCUAGAGUAUCGGAGAGGUAAGUGGAAUUCCUAGUGUAGCGGUGAAAUGCGUAGAUAUUAGGAGGAACACCAGUGGCGAAGGCGGCUUACUGGACGAUAACUGACGUUGAGGCUCGAAAGCGUGGGAGCAAACAGGAUUAGAUACCCUGGUA
rnacentral:rRNA from 1 species